rnacentral:rRNA from 1 species
AGUAACGGCGAGUGAAGCGGCAACAGCUCAAAUUUGAAAUCUGGCGCAAGCCCGAGUUGUAAUUUGUAGAGGAUGCUUCUAGGUAGCGACCGGUCUAAGUUCCUUGGAACAGGACGUCAUAGAGGGUGAGAAUCCCGUAUGUGACUGGCCCGCACCUUCUACGUAGCUCCUUCGACGAGUCGAGUUGUUUGGGAAUGCAGCUCUAAAUGGGAGGUAAAUUUCUUCUAAAGCUAAAUACCGGCCAGAGACCGAUAGCGCACAAGUAGAGUGAUCGAAAGAUGAAAAGCACUUUGGAAAGAGAGUUAAAAAGCACGUGAAAUUGUUGAAAGGGAAGCGCUCACAACCAGACUUCUAGGCAGUGUUCCGCCGGUCUUUUGACCGGUCUACUCUCUGUCUCGAGGCCAACAUCAUCUGGGACCGCCGGAUAAGACCUUAGGAAUGUAGCUCCCCUCGGGGAGUGUUAUAGCCUCUGGUGAUGCGGCGCGUCUCGGGUGAGGUCCGCGCUUCGGCAAGGAUGUUGGCGUAAUGGUUGUCAGCGGCCCGUCUUGAAACACGGACCAAGGAGUCUAACAUCUAUGCGAGUGUUCGGGUGUCAAACCCCUACGCGUAAUGAAAGUGAACGGAGGUGGGAAGCGUAAGCUGCACCAUCGACCGAUCCUGAUGUCCUCGGAUGGAUUUGAGUAAGAGCAUAGCUGUUGGGACCCGAAAGAUGGUGAACUAUGCCUGAAUAGGGUGAAGCCAGAGGAAACUCUGGUGGAGGCUCGCAGCGGUUCUGACGUGCAAAUCGAUCGUCAAAUUUGGGUAUA